ACAUGAACCCAGGAGGUCAAAGCUGCAGUGAGCUAUGAUUGCACCACCACACUCCAACCUGGGCAACAUAGCAAGACCCUGUCUCUAAAACAAGAAACAAAGUGCACCAGCGUGUGGAUACCAGCUUCUCCUGGUGUGUGGACCUGACCGUACUUGGCCCCAUUGCUCUGGUGCCCUGCAGGGUCUACUUUGGAGCACCUGGAGCCCAAGAAGCUGCCCCUCACCUUUGUGAUCCCAGGGACCCCCUCCCUGAUCAUGAUGAAGGCGGACCCAAACCCGCUGGGGUGCCUGAAGGAGCAGGGUCAGCCUCUGCCUCCCACGGCCUCUCUGAUGGCAAUGAAAGCAGCUUGCUGGAGGUCACCUGUCAGGUAGGGACAGAGAGGGAUCUGGGUUCUUUCUCACCCAGCCGCAGCUCCCCCUCCACCUGGCCCCUUCCCCCAGGUGAUAGAGAACCUGGCAUGCUGUGCCCCAUAGAAGAGUCCCCUUUCCUUCUGGUGAGGGAUGGAAACCAGCUUGGGGUGGGAGGGAUGAGGGUUCUGGGGGCUCUCCCAGCCCGCCUCACAUUUGAAGGAUGGCAUCUGGGUGGCAGCAUGGUUUAGGCUCGACAAGGUGGCCCCUAGGUUUAUUGUCUGGCCUUGGGCAGGAUGCUGCCAUGCCACCUUCUCUUCUGCACAUCCUGACCUGGCACCCUACUUAGUUAAAUGUCCUCAGGCCUCCUGCACCUUGGGCAUUGCCCCCACUCCCUGCCCAGACACAGCUGUCCUUUUCCUGGGCUAAUCUUCAGAGAUUCUUGUCCAGCCCACAGCUUUGCUGGACAUCGCAGGCUGGGCCAGGCCCCCUGCCCAGCACUAACAUCUCUCUGUGAGUCUCAACCAGACUGAGCCGCAGCUUCAGGGUCAGGGUAGGUGCUGACUUAAUUGACGUGACCCAGGACAAGGGGGUUUAUUGAUGGUGUCACAUCUGCUUAAGCUCUUGGCCUCUAUGGUUUCUUUGGGGGCAAGAUACUCCUCUGUCCCAUGCUUAGGCACCCACAUGUGGCCACAAGUGCCUUUCCUACCACCAUCCCUACUGCAGGCCAGUGUCCAGGCACCUGUGGCUCCAGGUGCAGAGUGCAGAGCCAGGCUUGGGUGGACAUUCUGCAGGGGCUGCAGGAGCUGACAGCCCUGGCCACCCAGCCCAUGGCCAUCCAUUCCCCUUCACCGUGGCUGGUCCCUCAUCCACCGUCCUUCCAGGGGCUAGGCCUGGGCCCAAACUGACUUUUGCCUGCCCUGGUCCCCCUUGUGCCUGCCAGGGUCUUGACUAGGCAUGAUGUUCUUGUCCAUUUCCUUGAUUAUCCUCAAUCAGAGGUUUAUAGAGCCAUGUGGGGACAUCACAUCUCCUGUCUACCAGGCCCUCACCAGACAGAGGACUGCCUUGGCCCAGGCCUGGGAUAGUCAGGGGUCACACUCGCCUGUUGGGACCUAGCUUCAGCGGCUUCAAUCUGGGCAAUGGCCUGAUGGGCGGCUGCCCCUUCUCUGCUUGGGGAGGCAGGAGAGGAAGGUCAGGCAGGAGAUCUGCGUCCUGCCCACCUGAGGCUGGUUGGAAGCAGGCGCCCACCUGUGCCUGUCUCACCUUGCUGCAGGUGCAUUGGAGGAUGAAUCCCCUCUCCUGAUCUCCUGCAGGUGCAGAUUCCAGGUUUACAGUAGGUGUUGGGGUGGGCUCCAGAGCUGUCCUGGCCCUAGGAAACCCUGGGCUCCAUAAGUCCAUGGCCUAGCCAGAUUGUUUCCCACACUAUCACCUCCCCACACUUUCACCUCCCCAAACAUGGGGCUGCAUGCUGUGUGCCCUGGGUGGGACAUUGGAAGGAGUUCCACCUUCCAGGUUUGGAUCACAGUAAAGCCUCUGCCAUGGGGAUGUGCUCGCUGAGACAGAUGGGGUUGAAUCAGCCCUGUCACGUUGGCCUUGGGCAAGUCACCUGCGCCUUGCUUCCCUUUCCCCAGCAGCUGGACAGGGAUAAUAGCACCUAUUUCACCCAUACUCAGGUGCUCACUUGUUAGCAGGAACUGAGUCCCGGAGGAGGUGCAGGGGGAGCCAUCGAGGCAGCACUGCAGCUGGACCUGGUCUGAGUCCCAGCUCCUGGCUGUGAGAUGUGUCUCUCCCUCUGUUUAUUCAUCUGAAGGACAGGGCUGUGCUCUUCUGGGGUCACUGUGACAAUGCAGCUGGCCUGUGUGAGUAGGUGGUGGCCUCCUGAGAUGGUUUGAGGUGGACUGGAGGUGUGUCUUGAAUACUCCCUCACCCACUUGAGGAAGACCCACUUCGGGAAGACUCAUGUGUCUGUAUGAAGGAAACCAGGUUCCCUGCCCUUGAGUUGUCCUCUAUCCCUUCCCAGCCCCCUCUAGUGUCAUGCAGGCUCUGGUGGUGGCCAUCCAGCUUGGUGGCCAUCUGGCUGGUCCACACUUCCAGGUGGACCCUCUCUCCUCACAUGGUGCAUGUCCCAUUGUGCCACCUCCAGACAGACCACGCUAGCCCCAGGGCCUCCCUUAACUGGUACCCAGCCCCCACCACUAGGUAUGUGCCCCCUCCCUAAAGCCCGCUCUGUUCACCAGCUGUGUUUGAACUCUGUCUCUGUGCAAGGCCUCAUGCAAAGCCUGAAACAGCCUGGCUUGUAGAGGACCAGGAGACCAAAGCUUGAAGACAGAGUGAUGGUCUCCCAGAGUCCACUUAGCCUCAGCCCCAGAGCUGCGUCCGUGCUGGUCCUGGCUCCAGUGAUCCAGUUCUCUCCUGUGACGUCUAAGUACAGAGGAACCUGGUGCUGGCUGCAGUCAACCCCGAUGUGAUGACCUUUCUACCCGCCCUCUUUGAUGUCUUGGUGCUGGCUGCUGUCUUUGGCCAGAAAACGCUUGCUACCCCUGCACUGAUCCAUCUAAUGGAAUACGCUGCUCACUCCGAGAGUUGAUCCUAGUAGGAAAUGUUGCUGACAAUUUAACAGAUGCUGCUUUUAUGUUUUAUUUUGUCGCUGCUCUGGUGGGAGACAUGUAAGAAAAUUCACCCCCUGGGAGGAGGUCAUGGUGGGGCUUGUGGCCAUCAAUGGUGAAGCCUCUUUAAGAGGAUGCGUGGGGAGCUCUACUCUCUGCUAAGGGGGUUGUGAUGGGCCCUCUGUGUUGAGGAAUGAAGAGGGAACAUGGUCUGUCUGCUGGGAACUGGCUUUCUGGGGAGCAGAAGAGAUGGUAGUUUGGGCCUGUGGAGGCAGAGGCCCAAACCAAUCUGGUCUCUGGGGCGGCCAGCAGGGAGAGUAGCUGUGUAGGAGUGGGUGCGAGGGCAGAGCCCGAAGGAGGGCACCCUGACCACACUCCCAGGAGGCUGCGGUGGUGGGGGUGGGGCAGCACUGUAGGAGGACCAGCACCUUCUGUGACUGAGGGGUCCUUGGAGAGCAGCUCUGGGCUGUGCAUACCUGGAGGGGACUGAUUUCACCCAGCGCUCUCCCAACCUGGGUGUGGAACAGCUCUCCCGGUUAGGAUGGCAUGAGCUUGCAGAAGUCAUCCUAUCAGGAGGCCUCAAGAGGAGAUAUGUGUUUCUUGCAGCCCCUGCACUGGGGCAGAGCUGAGGGGUUUUGCCUCUGACUUCGUGGGACAGAUCUUGUCAUGCAUGUGAGGACUCAGUGAGGUCCUGGGCAAUCAGGGAGGUGACGGGACCCUCUCAUCCCUCUGAUCUUGACUGCUUCUCGCCUAUGUCCAGCUCCUUGCUGAAACUCUAUGCCCCAUUCCUCUCUGUGGCCCCAACACAUGAGCGAGUAUUGUCUGAAGAAAAUUCUGCCCAUUCUCUAGAAGGGGAACACCGAGGUUUAGAGAGGGGAAGAGCCUGAUGGCCCAGAGACACACAGGGAUCACAGCCCUACUAAAAACACAGAAAUUAGCUGGUAUAGUGGCACAGGCCUGUAAUUCCAGCUACUAGGGGGGCUG